ACCGCCGACAAGGUCGGCUAAGGCCAUACGGACAGCCGGGUCGAAUGCCGA
rnacentral:sRNA from 1 species